rnacentral:lncRNA from 1 species
CGCGCGCGUCAGAGCCAAGUGGAAUGAUUCCAGAUUGCUUCACGUAUAUGAAGCGGGGGGGAAGCGCCCGUCACCCCAACCCCCUACCCCAACCUUUUGCAGCCUGGACAAGUGGUCUGUAAUGCAGCUUGGCGCAAAAUAAAGUCUGAACAAAACUAGACUGUGAGACUAGCACGUCCUAGAGUGGAAUUGACUGAGGUUAACGCAGAGUCUGUAAAGACUCUACAGACUCGGAUCAUUUGCAAGCAAACUAAAAUUCCCUUUUUUAAAAAAGAAAAAAAAUCAUUAAUUGGGUUCCGAUCUAAAAUACUGCUCUUAAAAUGCGCUCACAUGUUGAAGACUGAGAUUGCAAGUUCUCGAGUAAACAUCUGGUGAAGACAUUCCAGGAACACAUCUGAAAGGAAGAAAGGAACUCUCAAGGUGACUUCAUCCAUGGCGGCUGUGUGGCAGCGAGCUACUUGCGCAUCUCUUCUGUUCCGUGAGGUCAUGUUGGCAGCUUGAAAUUGAUCAAGUGGGAAGCAUUUACAUCACAGAAAUUGCUCUAUUCAAAAUACCCAAGAUUUGGAAGCAACCUAAGUGCAUAUCAGCAGACAAAUGGAUAAAGAAAAUGUGGUACAUAUACAAAAUGGAGUACUAUUCAGCUGUAAAAAAGAAUGAGAUCCUGUCAUUUGCAACAACAUGCAUGCAACUGGAGGUCGUUAUGCCUCUGCCUCUGAAUGUGAAGGGAAACUGGACCAGCUCAGUGUCAAGCCUACAGACAUUUCCUUGUUCCUGGGGACUGAGCAGUUUGAAGUUUCCAAAGAUGAAAACAUCUACUCUGAAGAGACCUGAAUGGACAAGAGAUGUUUUCCUCUUCCUUACCAUAAUAAAAGAGGACUGCUCCUGACCACAGGAUAUGCCUGGUCCAGGAAAUGGCCACAUUUCCCCCCUCAGGACCUCUACUUGGAUGGGCUGCCUUGGAAAUAAGUAUACUGGAUUGGAAACCCAUUCAAUCUGAUGUCUGCUGAGGAAUGGAGAAAGACCACUGGUGAUUCCUCCAUCCUCACUCCUGUGUCCCUCCUUGCAUUGCAAGUGCUUUACAAGUCUUCCCGAUAGACCAUGAGCAUCCUGAGGGCUGGUAUCAAAUUUAACUCAUCUCCUAUCCUCAGUGCCUCGUACAAGAUGCUGGAUGUAGGAGGAGUUCAGAAGCUCAAACUGAGGCAGAAUCACAGCGAUUUGGAAAAUGGUCCAAUCAGCUAUAGUGGAAGAGCAGAAUCAUUGAAUAUAAAACAUGGAGAUGUCAGCAGCAGGGGCUGUGAGCUGAACAGCUUCACUGGGAAGAGGAUAUGGGUGAGAAGGUACAGCAAUGGGUACCUCCAUUAACAGGUAAGCUGGAUCCUCCAUAGGAAUAGGCACUAGCUGGUUUUGGAUGAAGGUGUCGUAAGAUCAGAUACACUUUUGGGUGAUCAGCAUGAUCUGGGUAUGGACAUGGCAGAGCAGGUGGAAGGGAAGGGACCAAUAUGUGUCAAUAACCAUCUAUGAGCCAGGCACUUACCGGGAAGUAUAAUGUCUUUGUAGUUAGACAGACCAGUAGUGUCUGUUGCUCUGGAGGAAGUUACUUAAACUCACCAAGACUCAGUUUUCUCUGUAUUAAAAUGAUGACACCUACCUCACUAUCUGGCCAUUGGGAUUAAAUAUGAGAAUAUGUGUGAAAAUUUAUGUCAUAUGGUAAGCACUCAGAUGUUUCCUGGUGGAACAGCAUGGUGUGGAUUAGGAACAUCCAAACUCUGACAUCAAGCUGAACUUUUGAAAUAGAGGCCUCCCUGCUCACUAGUUGGGCAACCUUGAACAAGCUAGUUAAACUGUCUAGAGCUCAGUUUUGUUAUCUGGUGAGAUUAAUAGCAUUGAAUGGUGUAAAGCACAUUCUCAGUAAAUGCUCAUUAUUAUGAUUAUAGUUAUUAAUGUUUAUUUAACUUUGAAAUAAUAAUGUGUAGGAGCUCCUCAGGUAGAUAAUGGAAAUAAGAAAUUUCUUAGGUCAUGGAAGCAUGGAGGUAUGGAAAAUUUUGGAGAACAAAGAGGAGUCUGGUGAAGUAGGGUGGGGAUACUGGGCAGAUGCAAAGAUUGCCAAGGGUUAUAUCAUAAAGGCCGGGAUACCAGCCUGGCAUCAACUGCCUUAGAUUGGGAAGAUGCAAAACUGUGGUCUGGAGUCAGCCCUGCAGAAGCCUGUUUCCUGACUUUCCAUCUUCAAUCUCUUUUCUAUGCAGUUACCAGAGUCAUGUUUUGAAAUCUCAAAUCUGAGCAUCUAUCCUCAAAUAGAGGCCUACAUGGCUUCCAGUUCCUCCAGGAGAAGGUCCAAAUCCCUUAAGAUGACUUUAAGGCCCUCAAGUGUUCCAGGCUCUGUACGUUCUUGUGCCACAACUAUGCCACAACAAAACAGUUUUUCCCCCAUUUCUACUUUGUUUUUCCAGCUGUAGAGUCAAAGCCUCAAGAAGGGGAAAGGGACGAAUGGACACCAGGUCAUGUGCCAGAUAGUUUGAUUCUGAGAGUAAGCUGCAAUGCGAUGUGCUACUGACAUGAGACCGUUCCCAAUGGGAAGAACAGCAAUCUCACUCCGUGAUCUGGAAGCAUACAGAAAAGCCUGUCUUCUUCAAAGGCAUUUGGAGCCAUGCACAGAAGGAAGACUACAUGAAGAUACCGGGAGAAGACAGCCAUCUAUGAGCCGAUAGAGGGGCCUCAGAAGAAGCCAGCUCUGCUACACCUUGAUCUUGAACUUCCAGCCUCCAGAACUGUGAGAAAAUAAAUUUCUGCUGCUUGAGCCAUGCAGUUUGUGGUACUCUGGUAGGCAGCCCUAAUAAACUAACACAGCAACUAUAAAAGUAACUUAUUUUUAUAUUAGGGCCUAUCUGUCUGUGAGCUAUCAACUUCAUUACUUUGAAAUAUCUGACUAUGCUUUCAAUAAGAUUAUUAUAUCAUUUCAAAUAUGUAACAUAUUCUUAGAAAAAAAUGAAGGAAAUAUAGAAAAAUGUGAAUUAUGCUUAUCUCUGACUGUGAGAUUUUGGGUUAUUGUACUUUUUUCUAUGUCUCUUCCAGUGUUUUCCAGAUUUUCUAUAAUAAGCAUGAUUACUUUUCUAAAUAAGGAAAGUAGCUAUUUAAAAGUUAUAUUAAGGUGCUAUUGUGUGUAUCAGAUGGUGGCCUAAGAAGUGAAAAAGGGGAGGUUUGCAUGUAGAUAAGUUUUGCAACCUCUGAGGCUCCUUAAACAUUUUUGAAUUGCUGUAGCCUAGGCUUGUUUUGUAAAAAGUGCUUGUUGCUGAAAAUGAUGAUUUGUUUGGAUAAACCCCCUCCUCAUUUUUUGGGUGGUGGGGGAGCUUUUUAUUGCAUAGUCACAAUGGGAGGCAUUGUUCACACAGACCAGCAUCGUCAUACUUCUAUUCUUGUCACUGACAGUAUUAUUUGCAACUGCUUUUUUUCCAGCCUCUUCUAAUUUCCACACUACCACUUAUUGUAUUUCAUUAAAGCUGGGUUAGAAAUGCAAGGCAUAUAAUUAGAUUGAGAACUAUGCUAUCGAUUUGGUUUUCCAUUAUGAUGUUAUCACAUGCACAAAAAAGUCAUUUGGUACAAUUGUUAUGAUUAAAACUACAAAAGAGAUCUAUUACAUCAGACUUAGUUUUCAGUGCCUGAUGCAGUGUAAAAUAAGAGUGAGAGGGGUUGAUCUGUUUAUAUUAGAGCUGCAUAUGCCAUGUAACCAUAAAUGUCUGUAGGCUAAUAAUUUCAAAGGAACCUUUAGUAGAUGAGAGGUUUUUUAGAAAUUCAUAUUAAAUAAAAGUCAAUCAAUACUUCAAUACUCAAUUUCUAAGGUGGUGGUGGAUGAUAAUCCUUUUCCAGCUCUGCACUAUGCAAAGACUCAUGCUCCACAUUUGCAGCUUUCUAUUGCAGGGAGGCUAGGAGGGGCAAAGAUGGAUUUUGGCAUUAGACAGAAGUGGGGUCAAGUCACAGUUCCAUUGCUGCUUAGGAGAAGGCAGGAUCAUUAUUUAAUUCAUAUCUACCAUGAGCCGGGCUUAAUAGACAUUAUCUCUGUCAAUUCCUACAAAGCUGUGAGGUUACUGGUUCAAGUUCAUGUAGCUAGUAAUUGAUACGAUUUUAGUUCCCUUCAUCCCUAAAUGUCCAUGUACUCUCUGCAGUAAUAUUCUCUUUCUCUUUUGUUGAAUAAUGUUGGAUAAGUUACUUAAUGUUUCUGAGUCUUAGUUUUCUCAUCUGAUAAACAAGAACAAUAACGUCCCUUCGUAAAGAUGGUUUUGAUUAUUAAAUGAAUUAACAUCUCUGUAAAACUGAGCAUUGUGCUUGGCACAUAAUAAGUACCCAGUAAACACACUUAUCUUUCUCUGCUUCUCAGUAAGUUCCCCCACAAUCCCAGGGGUAACCUUGGAGUUAUACUGGGUUAGAGGAAUGACACUGAUUUUCCUCAUCUCUGCAAAUGUAGGUAAUGAAAAGGUUAAAAAAAAACAAGAUCACUGAUGUAGAAAGACCUUGUUUAAUAGAAUAAUAUGGGAACUAACUACAAAGCUUAUCUUAUAGCUAUGCUUAAGUUGGUUUUGAUAAUCUACAAAAUUGAUUUAAAAGUAUUUAUUAAGCACCUAGUGCAUCACAGACAUGGGGGCUGGACAGAUUCUCAUGUACAUGCUGUUUAAUUUUUUUCCAACCACUUUCUGGGGGACAUAGUUGAAGAAACUGGGACCCAGAGAAGGUGGAAUAAUUUGAGCAGUGACUUGGAGAAUGAUUACAGUUUCCACAAACAGAAAUAAAGGUAUGUACAGGGAUCUUACAUAAAGUGAUAUUGGGCUACAUUUGAUCUUUCUAGUUGUUUUGAGUAAAACAGUCAAUUAGUCAGUUAAGUGGUGACUUAACUGCAAUGUCUAGAGUAGGAGCUAGGUAUGGCUGAACCCAAAAAAGGCUCAAAUCAGAGUUAUUGGAUGGCUCAUUCCUGUGACUUCUCUGCUUUGUUUCUGGUUGUCCCCAUUUUCAGGAAAGUUGACUUAUACCCCCAUUUUCUCAGAAACAUCAACAUAAGGAUAGUACCCCUUUUCUAGUCAAUUCAUGAAAUUUCCCAAGACAUUCUCUGAUUAGACUUAGUUGAAUUAUGUGCUCAUCCUGGAUCUACUGCUGAAGCUAGGGUGAUAGAAUACACUGAUGGGUCAGGCUUGGGUCACAUGCCUAGCCUGGAUUUGGGAGCAGAAUCCACUUGAACAGAAUUCAUGGAUGGAGAGUUGGGAGGGGUGGUGUAGCAGAUACUCUCAGUGUUCUGCCCAUACUUCCUAGGAUCUCAGCAACAUUUCCCUAUAUCUUUUUGUCAGGCAGCUGCCCUCAGGUUGUCAGAACCUGCUUUGCCUGUGCCCAUGGAGAGCAGAGAAUUUAUGUGUCCCUAAAGGCGGCCCUUAGGAGUGGUAAGGGUGGGGUAUGAAUACUCUAGCUCCUUUCUCUUGGUGGAAACAUCUCUCUCAGGUGUGUUCUAUACUGUUUCUAGAGCUUCUCUGUGGAAUUGAGCUAAAGUCAUCUACUUGGGUUUAUGAUACUAAAUAUUUUCUAGUUGCACUUAACCACACCCUUACCGGUUUUCUUGGGAAUAAUUCUAAAUAAAUCACUUUCCCAUGAGUCCUUGUUACAGGGUCUGCUUCUGGGGAACCUAAUCUGAGAGAUUUCUCCAAGGAAAAGUUGGGUACCUUAAUUAGUCAGUUAUUGCUGCACUAGAGCUAAAUAAAAGACAUAAAUAUCUAAGGCACUUACUGGAAUAAACAUCUUAUUUCCGCUAAGAGGUUGGCUAGGGAAGCUCUGCUUCAGAGUAUGGGUUGAGUAUAAGCCUGUUCCACAUGUCUUUUGCUCUGGGACCAGGCGUUGUGCAGCCCAUCCUUUUCUCAAGACAAAAGCCAAGCCAAGCAAGGACAUUUAAAGCUUCACUUCUGCUCACAUCAUAUCUAUUGGCCAAACAUUCCAUUGGCCAAAGCAAAUCACAUGGCCAAGUCAAGCAUCAGUAGUCUGGGGAAUAUUCUUCCUCUACUCUAGACACAUGGAAAAGGUUAUGCAUACUAAUUCUAUAUCAGGAGAGAAUGAGGAAUUGGGAACUGUAACCCAAUCCGCAACAUUUCAAUUGGAAGAAAUUACUCCGCAGGCAAGAAAUAUUUUUCCUCCAGGAGAUACUCUGCAGGCAUAACCAGCAGAUGUCUACCCUGAUUUACAGUAAGUCAUGUGUGAUAGGCUGAGUAAUGGCUCACAAAGAUGAUCGUGUUGUAAUUCCCAGAACCUGUGGAUAUGUACCUUGUGUGGCAAAAGGAACUGCACGGAUGCCAUUAAAAUAUGGAUCUUGAGAUGGGGAGAUUUUCCUGGAUUAUAGGUUGGCACAAUGUAAUUAUAAGCGUCCUUAUAAGAUGAAGGCAGGAAGUCAGAAAGGAGAGAAGAUGUUGCUCUGAUGGCUUUGAAGUUGAAGGAAGAGGCCAUGACCCAAGGAAUGGUGGCAGCUUCUAGAAAGUAGCUAAGGCAAGGAAUGGAUUAUUUCCUGGAGCCUCUAAAAGGAACCAGUCCUGGCAACACCUUAAUUUUAGUCCCAUAAGACUCCUCACAGACUUUUGACUUCCAGAACUAGAAGAGAAUAAAUGUGUGUUAGUUCAAGCCACUAAGUUUAUGGUAAUAUUGGCUGGCAAUAGGAAACUAAUACACCACGUGGUUUACAUAUUUUAAAAUACUUUAAUCCUGUAAAGUAGACAUUAUUUUUACCAUUUUAAGGCUGAAUAACUUGAAGUUCCAAUACAUGAAAUGAUUGGCCCAAGGCCAUAUAGGUGACAAGUAUCAGAGUUAGCAUUCAAAUGCAGGUCAAACUUCAAUAUUAAUGCCGUUGCCAUUGAAACACUAUUUUAGCUUCUGUUUUCUGCUAGUGAGUAAAUUAAGGAAUGAACUCAGAGAACUCUAGACCAUUCUUAAUUCAGCAGGAGAUGGGGGCAAAUGAAACUUCUUCAACAAUUGCCCUGGUCUUUGUGGUAGAGACUAUAUAAGUCUUUCCUCAAGUUUGUGACACAUACAGCGAUGAGCUCUUUGGGAAUGAAGAGAAGGUGCCUCUGAGUAUGGUGUUAUGGCCUGAAUUAAGUCUUCUCAAAAUUUAUAUGGUGAAGCUCUAACUCCCAACCUGACUGUAUUUGGAGAUAGAGCACCUAAAGAGGUAAUUAAGGUAAAAUGUUGUUAUAAGGGAAGGGCCCUAAUUGAAUAGAACUGGUGUCAUUAUAAGAAGAGGAAGACAUGAGGCAUGGGCGUGCACAGAGGUAAGAUCAUGCAAAGAGGCAGCAAGAGAGUGACCAUCUGCCACCCAAUGAGAGAAGCCUCAGAAGAAACCAAACCUGCAGGGACUUUGGUCUUGGACUUCCAGCCUCCAAAACAGUGAGAAAUAAAUUUCUGUCGUUUAAGCCACCCAGUCUGUAGUAUUUUGUUAUGGCAGCCCAAGCAGACUAAAUACGGAUGACAUCUGACCUCUUUUGCCUUUCUGGAAGCUUCAAAUCAUAUUAGGUUUGUUCUUAAAGUUUUAAUAAUUCAUGCCUUUUACAAUGGUAAACAUUUGUACUUCAUUUAAAGAAGACAGCUGUGUAGAUUAAUUCAAAUUGAUGUGAUUCGAGAGCAGGCUAUCUUUUCAUACCGUAAAGAAGAGUGAGAGAAGAAAAGGUCUCAAAAAUGUGUAGGCAAGUAGGGAAGUGUGCUGUAGAGAAAGUAUCAGGUUUUUUGUUUUGUUUUAAUACCCCUGACACUGAAUGGGUAUCAUAAAGUUGUUCUUUUCACAUUAGUAUGAGCAGCGGCAGGGCCGCAGUCGACAUCCUGAGGGUCUUGGGAGAAAAAAAUGUGUGGAGAGUAAUUUAACCAGAAAGAGGCUACCGCAUUCUCAAAAAGACAUUAAAGAAAUUGCAAACAGGCAAGUAUAAAAUAUUUAUUGCACUCCAACUCUGGGCCAUGCAAGGUGUGGAGUCAUCUAUUGAGUUACUAUUUAUAGAGUUUUUAUUAAUGAGUUGUAAUAGUUUAUUAAUUAGGGCAAUUCUAGUUGCAGUAACAAACAAAUGCCAAUACAUUAGUAGAUAAGCUUAGGAGAAACUUGUCUCUCGAUCUGAAUAUAGUCCAAGGAAGCAUUCCUGUAGGUGGUAGGAUUUUUUUCCAUGUGGUGAUUUGGCGAUCAGGGCUCCAAUUUUUUGCUCAAUGAUUCUUGAGGAACCUUCUCUAGAACAAAGAGAAAAGGGGGGAAAUGGCACACUGGCUGCCAUUUUCAUAAGUGAUGCUCUGUACUUCUUGCAUUUCAUUGCUGAGAACUGGUCACAUAUCUUUAAAAAUUCAUGUUUUUUUUUUUAACUAUGUGGAGUUGUCUUUGGAAAGCAGCUGUCCAGGCAGGUACUACAAAAUCCCCUCUUGUGUAACGCAGAAACCAUAUUACAAGUACUCACUAACAACAAGUGAAUGAAAGUGAUGUACGUCACACCUGAGCCAAAAUGGUUAAAAGUGGGUAUAGUUUUUUACCCUCUUAUUUGCUUACAGCGGAAGGCCCUGGGACAUGGAAGAACCCCUAAAUAAAGGAACCUGGGGUUCUGAAUGACUGUAUAGAAUGCUUCCUUCCUCAUUUAUCAAGACUACCUGCAUUUUACUGCAGGUGAACUGGAAUAAACUUUUAUUGUGUUUGUCAACAAAAUGUUGGAAUGGCCUUGCUACAGUGGCUAAGAUCGCUCAAACAAAUAUUCAUGGCCUCAUCUGAAAGCAAGAGAUGAUGGUAAAUAUGAUCUCAGGUUGGCCAACCACUUCUCAUUGAAAGCUGUUUCAAUACUUUGGAAACAGGAGUGCAGCUUUUAGGUGCUCAGUUAGCUGACUCUACACAAACACCUUUCACAGUGCCUGACUUUACUGAAUGAAUAAAUGAAUGGCCCACAUUUAAGUGGAUGCCCUCCUCUGGGAAGCUCUGUGCACGUUGAUGUAGCUAUUAAAAAUUGACUACAGGACUUUUUACAAACAUGUUAAGCUAUUUAUAUACGUUAUUUUAUUAAUACUGGUGAUAAUCCAGUUAAUUAAAUUUCAUUUUAUUGCAUUCAUUUAUUUUUAAAAUUGUGUCUUCCUUUUUGAACUGUGAGAUUUUUGUUGUCACGAUUGGUGCCCUUGGUUGCCGGUGCAGUGCAUAGCACAUGGCAAAGACUCAGUGUCUGUUGAAUGAAUACAUGCUUGGGCAGAUGGAUGGACAGAUACAGGAUAGACAUGAGGCCAACUGUGUGUGAUAUAGGGUCUAAAUGCCAGGACCGAGGGGCAAAAAAGAGUAAAAGAAAAAUAAAUAGGCAUUUUCACUAGGUGAGGAGUGGGUGCUGGAUGGUAAACUGGCCUCAGGCAUUGGGAGAAAGUCCAGUCAAUAACUUCAAGCACAAAUCAGAAAUAUGUGGUUUGGGGCAACAGUCUAAGCAAGGGAUGAGUAGGUCUUCAGAGCUGAGGGAUCUGGGAGUUGUCUUCAGGUCCUUCAGGCAAAUACUCAUGAGUCUGCUAGGCUAGACAUUUCUGGCCUAAAAAGGUGCUGAUUUAGUAAAAAGUCAUGUAUCUAAAAUGUUUGGUUAUCUAAGAUUGAAGAGUAAUCAGACAUUUCUGGCUAAUGUCAGCACUUUAUAUUUUUCAAACAUCAGAUGUAUGAUUUAAAGUAAUCAUGCUCCUCAGUCUAGUUCACUCUCAUCAUCAGUCUUCGUAGGUGCCCUUUAGGUUUUGCUAUAUUUUACUACUUGCUCUUUUUGUUCUUUCUCUCCACCUUUACCAUCUCUUCCCCCUCCUCAAUUACCACCACAAUGGUAUAUUUGAUAUGUGCCCUCUAAACCACCUGUCACAGAAGAGGUGGUAGAGCACGCUGUUUAAGAAUGCAGGUUUAGGAGACCAGGCUCAACUCCUCACCCUGCCAGACUGCAUUGUGUGACCUGAGGCAAGCUGUUUAGCUUCUCUGUACCUCAGUUUCUUAAUCUGUGUAUGAUUAUUCACUGAAUUAAAUAGAUUAAUAUAUAUAUAUAUAUAUAUAUAGUAUAAAAUUGAUUAGUACCUGGGGCAUAGAGUGCUUGUAAACCAUU